rnacentral:rRNA from 1 species
AACGAACGCUGGCGGCAGGCUUAACACAUGCAAGUCGAACGCCCCGCAAGGGGAGUGGCGCCCGGGUGAGUAACGCGUGGAUAUCUGCCUUUUGGUUCGGAAUAACCCCGGGAAACUGGGGCUAAUACCGGAUGGUUCCUACGGGAUAAAGAUUUAUCGCCAAAAGAUGAGUCCGCGUACGAUUAGCUAGUUGGUGAGGUAAUGGCUCACCAAGGCGACGAUCGUUAGCUGGUCUGAGAGGACGAUCAGCCACACUGGGACUGAGACACGGCCCAGACUCCUACGGGAGGCAGCAGUGGGGAAUAUUGGACAAUGGGGGCAACCCUGAUCCAGCCAUGCCGCGUGAGUGAUGAAGGCCUUCGGGUUGUAAAGCUCUUUUGGCGGGGACGAUGAUGACGGUACCCGCAGAAUAAGCCCCGGCUAACUUCGUG